rnacentral:rRNA from 1 species
UACGAAGGGGGCUAGCGUUGUCCGGAAUCACUGGGCGUAAAGGGCGCGUAGGUGGCGUCGUAAGUCUGUGGUGAAAGCCCGGAGCUCAACUCCGGGUCUGCCGCGGAUACUGCGAGGCUUGAGUGCUGUAGAGGGGGGUAGAAUGCCGGGUGUAGCGGUGGAAUGCGUAGAGAUCCGGCAGAAGACCGGCGGCGAAGGCGGCCCCCUGGGCAGUAACUGACACUGAGGCGCGACAGCUAGGGGAGCAAACAGG